rnacentral:rRNA from 1 species
GACGAACGCUGGCGGCGUGCUUAACACAUGCAAGUCGAGCGGUAAGGCCCUUUCGGGGGUACAUGAGCGGCGAACGGGUGAGUAACACGUGGGUGACCUGCCCUCAGCUCUGGGAUAAGCCUGGGAAACUGGGUCUAAUACUGGAUAUGACUCCACGGUGCAUGUCGUGGGGUGGAAAGCCUUGUGCGGCUGAGGAUGGGCCCGCGGCCUAUCAGCUUGUUGGUGGGGUGAUGGCCUACCAAGGCGACGACGGGUAGCCGGCCUGAGAGGGCGACCGGCCACACUGGGACUGAGACACGGCCCAGACUCCUACGGGAGGCAGCAGUGGGGAAUCUUGCGCAAUGGGCGAAAGCCUGACGCAGCGACGCCGCGUGAGGGAUGACGGCCU